ensembl:snRNA Gm24630 predicted gene, 24630
CUCCUCACGUUGAUAGCACAUAUACUAAACUUGGAAUGAUACAGAAAAUACUAGCAUGGCUCUGUGCAAGGAUGACAAGCAAAUUCGUGAGGCCUUCUAUAUUUGU